rnacentral:lncRNA from 1 species
CCAAAUCUUGUGGUCAUAUGUUGCACUGGCAGAAUCAAGAUUGCAUCACAAAUCCUGGUUAUUAGGAAGUCUGGGAAAUGUAGUAUUAGACUUCUUGCUCCUGCAACAAGUGUAUGUGUGUAGAGCAGAUCACAGGGGAAGGUAGAAACAAAUGCCCAAUAUAAAUAGGCAUUCAGCAGAAGAGGACACCGAUGCAGAGAAAAGGCAUCUGGCAUUCCCCCCUGCUUGCUCGUCUUUCUCCUGCCACCAUGUGAAGAAAGUCCUUGCUUCCCCAAUUUCCACCAUGAUUGUAAGUUUCCUGAGGCCUCUCCAGUCAUGUGGAACUGUGAGUCAAUUAAACUUCUUUCUUUUAUAAGUUAUCCACUCUUGGGUAUUUCUUUAUAGUGAUGUGAAAACGGACUGAUCCAUCAUUCUUCCCCUUUCCAACAGCACACAGUUUUGGAGAACUACC